GACGUAGGGCGCGAGCGUUGUCCGGAUUUAUUGGGCGUAAAGAGCUCGUAGGCGGCUUGUCGCGUCGUCCGUGAAAACCCACAGCUCAACUGUGGGCUUGCGGUCGAUACGGGCAGGCUAGAGUUCGGUAGGGGAGACUGGAAUUCCUGGUGUAGCGGUGAAAUGCGUAGAUAUCGGGAGGAACACCAGUGGCGAAGGCGGCUUUCUGGGCCUUACCUGACGCUGAGACGCGAAAGCGUGGGGAGCGAACCGG
rnacentral:rRNA from 1 species